GCCUGGAUGGCUCAGUUGGUUGGGCGUCUGACUUCAGCUCAGGUCAUGAUCUCACAAUCCGUGAGUUUGAGCCCCGCGUCAGGCU
rnacentral:tRNA from 1 species